rnacentral:rRNA from 1 species
GACGAACGCUGGCGGCGUGCUUAACACAUGCAAGUCGAGCGGUAAGGCCCUUUCGGGGGUACACGAGCGGCGAACGGGUGAGUAACACGUGGGUGACCUGCCCUCAGCUCUGGGAUAAGCCUGGGAAACCGGGUCUAAUACUGGAUAUGACUCCAUGACGCAUGUUGUGGGGUGGAAAGCCUUGUGCGGCUGAGGAUGGGCCCGCGGCCUAUCAGCUUGUUGGUGGGGUGAUGGCCUACCAAGGCGACGACGGGUAGCCGGCCUGAGAGGGCGACCGGCCACACUAGGACUGAGACACGGCCCAGACUCCUACGGGAGGCAGCAGUGGGGAAUCUUGCGCAAUGGGCGAAAGCCUGACGCAGCGACGCCGCGUGAGGGAUGACGGCCU